ensembl:lncRNA
AUCAGACAGGGUCAACAUAUGGUCGAAAGAUGAUGACCAGGUAUCUGUCUGCGAUGGGAGUGGUUGCUGGUGAACGCCGGAUAGGGAGGAUUUUGAGAACAACGCAUUGUCCUUAUCACGAAAUGCGCAAACAUAUAAGUAUCUUUUGCAAGCCUUUAAUGUUGUGAUAUAUGGUAUCAUGUAUUUUACUAGCUAACUUUUACUUAGUUUUCCCCAAAAGGGUGCACGUAACCUUAACCCCGUCCCCUACAGUGCUGCAUACAUGGGACACAAAAUCCACAUCGACCAGAAUGAAAAAUUGGUCAUGUUCGGAGUGACGCACGUUUUCGCAGUAGAUGGGUACAGCAGUAAGGUCGUUGCCCAUGCAACCAUGCCUGUCAAGAAUAACCUCACGAUAUAUGAGGAAGUUUACAGAUCAGCAGUUCUUGAAAAUGGGAUGUGGGACCAGGUCAGGGUGGACCAUGGCCAUGAGUUUUACUUGUCCCUCUACAUGCAGGAGAUGCUGUCUAACCACAGACACAACUUGCAAAGGCAACCAUAUCGCCAAACUCAGUCAACAAAGGCAAAGGAACACCCAAUUGUUUAGCAGCAGGAGUAUGUCCAAAGAAACUGGGAGAGGAGUUGUUGCCUCAUGCCUCCCAAGCACCAGACAUGUACCAGCAGGAUGUUGGCUCUUCACUCCUGGCUGACGUCUGACGUUAUGGUCCCUCUCUAUCUCCCUACACAUCCACCAACCACUGGAACACAUCUCCAAAGUUCUGCUGGGCCAGCUCAGCUUCCCCUCAGAAGAAGUUCCACCAGAUGAAGGAGCCUUUUGAGAGGCAGCUGGCAUCGUGAUUGGACUGUACUUUGGUCUGUUCCAAUCCAGCUUCAGCUCCAGAGACGGCAGGUGGGACGAGUCAACGGAGGCCUGGAAGACAAAGGCAUGCAGCUGAGUACAAUCCAGAAAACAACAGAGGAGGAGUGCAGAGCCAGAAAAAACAGAGUAUGUCUCUUAGAAAACAUCAUAGUAUAGCCUUUGGUAUGAAAAAACGCCAUCAUAUACAUCGUAUAUUGUACAAAUAACAAGUCAAAGCAAAGAGACAUACAUUGUAGAAUUGUAGUAAUUGUGGGCUGACUGAUUUACUGAUUAUCAGUAUUUUAUUUUGUACUGAUUUACGGUAAUAAAUACAUUUAAAAACGGCCCUACUGUGGCUCUGAACCUUUAUCUACCUGUGGUCGCUCUGUCUUCUGGAGUGAUUUGAUUGGUUAUACG